AUUUAAUCAAAUAGUAAUCCUAAAAAAUGGUUAAAGGUCGGUCAAAAUUGGGUGUCAACAUGGAUUAGGUGGAAUUCCCCAUCAUGAUGGAAGAAUAUUGGUUUUGAGACGAUAUGUAAAGGUUUUUAGAGCUAAUGGAUAAUGAUCGGAGUUAUUGCUAGUUGGGGAAACUUAUCCCCCUUGCACCUUUCUUUUUGACUUAAAAUCAGG
rnacentral:misc_RNA from 1 species